UUAACUAUUAGAUAGUACUCAGACGACAGUUUAAGAAUUUAAGAUAUAAUAUACAAGGGUGAGGUUUGCUACCCGCUAGGGCAGCUAACACUGUAAUGAUCCUUCCGCAGGUUCACCUACGGAAA
rnacentral:misc_RNA from 1 species